AGUGAACGCUGGCGGUAGGCCCAACACAUGCAAGUCGAACGGCAGCACAGUAAGAACUUGCUCUUACGGGUGGCGAGUGGCGGACGGGUGAGGAAUACAUCGGAAUCUACUUUUUCGUGGGGGAUAACGUAGGGAAACUUACGCUAAUACCGCAUACGACCUACGGGUGAAAGCAGGGGAUCUUCGGACCUUGCGCGAUUGAAUGAGCCGAUGUCGGAUUAGCUAGUUGGCGGGGUAAAGGCCCACGAAGGCGACGAUCCGUAGCUGGUCUGAGAGGAUGGUCAGCCACACUGUAACUGAGACACGUUCCAGACUCCUACGGGAGGCAGCAGUGGGGAAUAUUGGACAAUGGGCGCAUGCCUGAUCCAGCCAUACCGCGUGGGUGAAGAAGGCCUUCUGGUUGUAAAGCCCUUUUGUUGGGAAAGAAAAGCAGCAGGUUAAUACCCCGCUGUUCUGACGGUACCCAAAGAAUAAGCACCGGCUAACUUCGUG
rnacentral:rRNA from 1 species